CUGAUCUGAUGAUGGAGACAGGAGGUGGCCAUAGGAACUCUGUGAUGAAACAGCGCAACCUAAUUGUGUUAGGGGUUUUUAGAAUUGUCUCGAUGAGUUUUAGUUUGAGAGUCAGGAUGGCGGGUGUACCUAGAUAAAAAUAAACAAAAAGCAUACCAUAUUUUAGUACCUAAUUUGUACUAUUUGGUACCUCCUUUAAAAAAAUUAGUACCUCACGGUAUUAAAAGUUAUCACCAAAAAACAUUACACCCGCCAUUCUGACAGUCAGAAUGGCGGGUGUAUUUUAUUACGCAAUGAUCCCGCGAUUAUUGAUAAAUUCUAUAAAAGACAAA